rnacentral:ncRNA from 2 species
UACAGAGGGUGCAAGCGUUGUUCGGAAUCACUGGGCGUAAAGCGCGUGUAGGCGGCGGCGUAAGUCGGAUGUGAAAUCCCCGAGCUCAACUUGGGAACUGCAUCCGAUACUGCGUCGCUAGAGUCCCGGAGGGGAUGGUGGAAUUCCCGGUGUAGAGGUGAAAUUCGUAGAUAUCGGGAGGAACACCUGUGGCGAAGGCGACCAUCUGGACGGGCACUGACGCUGAGACGCGAAAGCGUGGGUAGCAAACAGG